GCGCAGUCAAUUAAGCCGACCAUCUCUUGUUGCUGUCGAGGGCUGGUGUGCACUGACUGCGCACAACAAUCCCCUUGGUUGUGUACGUGCUCUGUUCUUAAUACAUAGCACCUUAAGGGACCUUGGGUACACUU
rnacentral:snoRNA from 1 species